GUUUUAGGGGUGGAUCUGGUGUCCCUGAGUGUAUGUGGUGAACCUGAAUUUGCCUUGGGUUUCCUCAUACUCAUUCAGGAGUGUCAGUCGCCCCUGCAC
ensembl:miRNA